CAUAUAACAUCCGGUCUAACCUUUUCGUAUUCAGCCUAUUAUGAUAAUACUACAUAAAAUAAAUCUAAUGUGAUGGAAAAUUAAAAGGUUGAAAAAAGGCUUCAACCUUCACAUUAUGUUUCGCAAUCCAUGUGCGACCCAUUUUUGUUUUGCAUUUCUCAUUGGAGGUUUUCUUAUGAACUGGCUAUUCUUCUCCUCCAAAGUUGUGUUUUGUUGUACAGUUUUGUUCUUUGCGACUGUUGGCACCAGUGAUGCAGUUCUAUUAGCAUCAGAAGUGUCGCGAGAAUAUGUUGAGUUUCCUGGAGAAGAAGCUGGAGCUUUGCAGCUGAGGUUGGUUACUGAUCUUGCUGUUGGUUUCAAGUUUGCAGGACUCUUUAUUGUCACAGAUUUUAUUUGACUCUUUUGCUUAAGUUGGACAUCCGUGUCCUCUCCUUCACUGUCGUCAUCAUAAAACACCAUAUCUGUGCCGCAAGAUAACUUGGUAGUAUUUGAC
rnacentral:lncRNA from 1 species